rnacentral:lncRNA from 1 species
UUUAUUUUGUGAAAUCGAAAGAGAUGUUUUAGUAAAGCUUCAAAAACUGAUUAUGUGAUGGACAGUGAAACCGUUCAAGAGAAUACUGGCCAUACCAGUUCAGUGAUACCUGAUGAUCAGAUGCCAUUCAUCCUGUGAGAGUUCUCUCAAACCAGGUUGAUAGCAAGGUUGAUAGUCAAAUAGUUGAAGAGAACGUGCCAGUUCAGUGAUCUCUUGCUGCAGAUGCCAUUAGUCAUGUGACAAUUCUUUCAAACGUACCAAGUUGAUAGUCAAAUAGAAGAAGAGAAUACUGGCCGUGCCAGUUCAGUGAUCUCUUGCUGCAGCCAUCCAUCCUGUGACAGUUCUCUUAUACCGGGUUGAUAUUCAAAUAGAUGAAGAUAAUACUGGCCAUACCAGUUUCAGUGAUAACUGAUGAUCAGAUGCCAUUCAUCCUGUGACAGUUCUCUCAAACCAGGUUGAUAGCAAGGUUGAUAGCCAAAUAGUCAAAGAGAACCGUGCCAGUUCAGUGAUCUCUGCUGCUGAUGCCAUUCGUCAUGUGACAGUUCUCUCAAACCAAGUUGA